UACUGUAGACUUUUAGUAUUGGUAAAAUUAAAAGUAUUAGUAAUUUUUCCAAUUUCAAAGCUUAAGUAUUCUUCCUAACAUUCAGAGACCUCACUUCGAAUGUCUUCUAAUUUUAUUAUAGUGUAUUUGGAUCUCUUAAAAUUUUGUUUUAUGUGCUUGAUCAUUGUGGUUUAAUGGCGAACUCAGCAUAAUUCUUUUGUCUUCAUUGCCAGGAGUCCAGUGUAUUCCACAACGAGCAGCACUUCUGAAAUCCAUGUUGAAUUUCCUCAAGAAGGCCAUCCAAGACCCUGCUUUCUCAGAUGGCAUACGACAUGUGAUGGAUGGUUCUCUGCCUACCUCCCUGAAACACAUCAUCAGCAAUGCAGAAUACUAUGGCCCAUCACUCUUCCUCCUAGCUACUGAAGUGGUGACUGUGUUUGUAUUUCAAGAACCAUCACUGCUCUCCUCACUCCAGGACAAUGGAUUGACAGAUGUCAUGCUGCAUGCACUGCUUAUCAAAGAUGUUCCUGCUACCCGUGAAGUCCUUGGCUCCCUCCCAAAUGUAUUCAGUGCACUCUGUUUGAAUGCCCGAGGUCUUCAGUCUUUUGUUCAGUGUCAGCCUUUUGAACGCCUCUUCAAAGUUCUUCUGUCUCCAGAUUACCUCCCAGCCAUGCGGAGGAGGAGAAGUUCUGAUCCCCUUGGGGAUACUGCAUCCAACCUGGGGAGUGCUGUCGAUGAGCUCAUGAGACAUCAGCCCACCCUUAAAA
rnacentral:sRNA from 1 species